rnacentral:rRNA from 1 species
AUUGAACGCUGGCGGAAUGCUUUACACAUGCAAGUCGAACGGCAGCACGGACUUCGGUCUGGUGGCGAGUGGCGAACGGGUGAGUAAUGUAUCGGAACGUGCCCAGUCGUGGGGGAUAACGUAGUGAAAAUUACGCUAAUACCGCAUACGAUCUAUGGAUGAGAGCGGGGGAUCGCAGGACCUCGCGCGAUUGGAGCGGCCGAUAUCAGAUUAGGUAGUUGGUGGGGUAAAGGCCCACCAAGCCGACGAUCUGUAGCUGGUCUGAGAGGACGACCAGCCACACUGGAACUGAGACACGGUCCAGACUCCUACGGGAGGCAGCAGUGGGGAAUUUUGGACAAUGGGCGAAAGCCUGAUCCAGCCAUUCCGCGUGCAGGAUGAAGGCCCUCGGGUUGUAAACUGCUUUUGUACAGAACGAAAAGGUUUCUACUAAUACUAGGAGCUCAUGACGGUACUGUAAGAAUAAGCACCGGCUAACUACGUGCCAGCCGCCGCAGUAA